ensembl:lncRNA
UAAUUACUCCAGUAGUUAUUUAGACAACUCACAAUUGCCUGAUUUGAGCACACAGUUGGAGGAUGUGCCAAAGGCAGGUGCAUACUUUUUUUUCUUUUUUUAAUUUAACAGUAGCACAAAUCUACAGGUUUAAUUCUUUACAUUGCCCUUUUGCCUCCCAAGAGAAUGCUACUUAUGCAUGUGUUCUUAUAUAAAAUGCAGUGUAUUACAAAGGCAGAAAAUACGUAUUUCCACAUGUUUAUAGUGGACUGGUCACUGUGAUAUAUACAGACUGACUGUAGAUGACUGUAUGAAUUCUAAAUCAAAUGCUGUGCCCUGUAUUGGACUAAAAUACAAUUUCAGUAUCGAGCUGUUAAGUAUUCAAAGCAUAUUUUNAUGGGCAUGGUGGGGAUGGGUCAACAGUUGGACUGGAUCAUCUCAGAGGUCUUUUCCAACAUUAACAAUUCUAUGAUAAAUAUGUAUGUUACAGCUCUUCUGGCAAGUAAAACAAACCCUCCAGUGCUAAGUGGUCCUCUAAAAUAGCUCACAUGCUUUUAGAUCUUAUAAUGAAUGCCCAAGCAGUGUUAAAGCAGCGUCCUUGGCAGCCACAGGCCUCUGUCACCAGGCAGGAAGCACCUGGUCAGCCUGAGUGCCAGCAAACAAAGCUCAGCACAUCAUUUAGAACGUUCCAGCACUGCGCUGGUUUGUGACAUUCACGUCCUCCUUCUAUGAGGAAGUUUCCUGAGUGGUGUGAAUCCAGCCAGCUGCUUCCAGGGAGAGCUGCACUGAACUCAUUUCAAACUACCUCAUUUUAAGCCACUCUGGGUAUGUUUUAUGUACAUAACAGACCCUGGGCAUCCUUAGAGGGCGAAUGGCACCCAAAAAGAAGAAAAAAAAAAAAGAAAAAAAAAGGAAAACUUCCUAAUUUCAAUAAACCCCAGCGCCCCGUUCUGCUGCUGCUGCCUCCGAGGGCUCGCAAGGAGCGGGCGGCAAGGGAGCUGCGCCACUGCCCAUGCCAAAGCCCGACCCGACCCCUUCCUCCUCGUCCUCCUCCGCCCCGCCAGGCUGCCGCCUUCCCGGGUGCCCCUCAGCCCCCCGCUUGCCCCAGUGCCGCGCAGGGAGCGGGGAGCAGGAAGCGAGACCCAGGAGCGGAGAGCAGCAACCACAAUCCAAAGGCUGCCGCGGCCUCACCGCCGCCUUGCGCGCCUGCGCGCAGGGAGAGGAGAAGGGGGGCGGGUGGGAGGCGGUGCUAUCGCGCGUCUCCGCGUGCAGGCAGGGAGCCCUUCCCCUUCCCUUCUCUUCCUUUCCCUUCCCCGGGCCUCCCCCACCGCCUCCCCCUGCCCCGCGUCCCUCGCAGGGCGCCGGGCCGGCGCGGGGGUCUGCGAGCAGCGCAGGGAGGGAGGGAGGGAGGCAGGGAGGGAGCGGGGAGAGAGAGAAAGAGAAAGAGAGAGAGAGAGAGAGAGGCUGAGCCAGAUCUUCAUGCCACUGCAGGCAGCAGCAGCAGCAGCAAAACUUCUGAAGGUUUGCAGAAGAUAGUAAGAGAACCACCAAGAAGGCUGUGGCAGUAUUCUGCUUUAAUGAAACAUCCUUCUCUUUACCUCUAAAACUGCUGCACCUUUCACCUGCCGCUGUCAGAAAGCUGCAUUCUGGUUCUGGAGUUUGUUGUGGUAUGUGACUGCAUCUUACUUUCCCACUGGUUCAUGCAUACCUCGUUUGGAAAAUGUCCUCUUCUGGGGACAGAUGUGAAAUAGCUGAUAUGUUUUAUCCACUGUUGGCAGCUUCUAGAUAUGAAUUGCUGUACUCUUGUAAAAAUAUGAAGAUGCAUCCGCUUAAUGCUUUUUCCCUUGACUCCAGCAUGUUCUGCUCUUAUAUUCCUCAUUUAGCUUCAUGCUAAAGCAGUGGGUUUGGCUUACACAAUAACAAAAAGAAUAAAAUUGUCUGUGUAGUAAGUAAUUAAUUGGAUAUGUUUUUGUAAUUUCAAAGUUUUACACUUUAAAAUGCUACUUGAGAUGGCUCAAGCAGCUGUAAGACUUUCUGGGACUCAUUUGGUGAUCACUGUGUGAUUCACUGGUAACAAAUUUUGCAUAAUGUGUGUCUUCACCUGAGCACCAGGAAGAUGCUCACAAACUGUGUUCUACAUUCUCUGCUCCUGCAAAGAUCUGCUGGUGUGAGUACGUGAUCUCUGUGGCUCUGGCUAUGCCUCAGUCCCAAAGCGUGACUGCUCUUUUUGUGCAAACUUGCAGCCUAGCAAGGUUGGGCAUGUUAUGUAUGCGACAAGAUCUUUCACUAUAACAUGCUCACCGGUUUCUCCUUCGAGUACUGUGUAGCUAGAUAGGAUUUUUUUCCAAACUUGCUAGCAAGAGUAGAUCCAAAGAGAUACUUACGUGCUUAUCUCUUUACACUUGUGUUAAAAUCAGUGGGAAAUUAAAAGCUUAGGAUUUAAAUACUUAGAAUUUGGAACUAUCCCAAGAUCCUUGUCAUCAAAAAGGCAAUGGCCUCGUUUUAUGCAGAUGUCCUAGCACUCAAAGGGUGCAUAAAUUACUGCAUCACUUAUCAAUUUCUCUUUAAUGUAUUCCUUUCUUAUAUCUGGGGCACUGUUAAUAGAGAAAAAGGAUUAAAAAGCAUAAAAAUAACUUGUAUGUAAGUUUCUUUGAGUUGAAAUUUUAUCAGUCAGCCUGUCAGCACUAACAUAUGGGAAACAUAGUUUUGCUACCGUGCAUAGCAGGGGCUAAAAGUGCUGUUCAGACCAUGUGCUCAACUCCUACGGAAGAGGGACUUUGUAGCACUUGUGCAGCCCACUCACAAAUUUAAGGGGUGACAUCUAUGGAUUCUGAAGAUAUGGUAACCAAAAUAUUGAUCUUGUUGGAGAUAAUGUAAAGUGGGGAGGGCAAAAGGACACAAAGGAAAUCUUCUAGAUCAGUGAGGGAUUCAGUAAAAUUUCAGUUAUUCCGUUUCUUAAAAGCCUAUUGUAUUGCUCUUGCUACAUUGAAACAGUAAUUGUAGAUAAUAGGGAAUUUUUAUGUAGCUUUUCUGUAUCUUGGGCUAACUUGCAGUAACAUAUAACAUCUCCUUGUAUCAAUUACUGUAAAGUACUAAAGAUCCCUACUGUUUUUGUUUUGUUUUGCUUCCUAAAGCCCCCUGCUGCUGUUGAUUACACCUAGAUCUGCUACUGAUUGGAACUGUUAAAAGGCAAAGAUAGCGUUGGAUGGUUUCUGAAUCAUUUAAUUGUAGAACUAAUAAGAUGUUUUCACUGGGACCUAAUAGAACUGAUAAUAUUAAUUAUCGAUAAUUGCAUGAACAAAGUAUAUUCUGUAGUAUGUUAAUAGCUGUGUAAUACACACUGAACUUAGUGCAUGUGACCCUUGAAAAACCGUUUUCUUAAUACAGCAAUACUUGCCACUUAAUGUCCAAAAUAGGCAUAGAGUUACUUGGCUUAUCUGUGUAAGAACCACUUCAAUUCUGUGCCCUUCUCCACUGUCCGCUCAAACUCUCAGCUCUGACGAGGUUGAAAUGUGAUUUAUGAAUACAUACAAGGAACUCCUAAGAUGAAGAAGAAUGAAAAUACAUCAUUAGUUAUGAAUGCUAAGAUUUGAAAUGUUGACUUUUCUAUUAUGUUUCAUGAUUUUUAAAUUCUAGCUAGAGAAUUUUCAAGGAAGAAAAAACACGGGAAAUGACUACCUAGGUAAAGAAAAAAGGUAGGAAAGGAGUCUGAGGUGGCCUUAGUGCCUCAUAUAUCUUCAGCAAGAUUUGGAGCAUCCAGGAAAUGGAGCUGCAGAGCAACUCUAGCAUGGCCAUGUGUAUCUUGGAGGGCAUUACGCACAGUUGAAGGAGUCUACCAAUUAUGACUCAUGAUUAACUCACUAUUUCUUUCUACAGUUUUGCCAGAUUUGCUCUCCUCGUCACAUACAUACAAUCCCCUCAUGUGGUGCAGAGAAAGUGGCAGCAGGGCCUUCUGAGGGACCAGCUGAAUCUUCAGUUUCCAAAUUGUUCUGCUGUAGUCAAUCCAAUCAGUUUGCCUUUUGUCUGCAAUCGCGUCAUAUUUUUUUUCUCAGUUAUCUACAUUUUAAAAUAUAAUUUGCGUUUUACCCUUUUGUUGGGUAAAAUGCUGGGAGGUUUGGAAAGCCAUACUAGAGAAAAUAAGUAUCAUGUGUAACAAUGUGUGCUCUUUAAAUUUAUGCAUACGUAAUAAACAUCAUAGAUUCAGAACUGAGGCUGGAGGGAGCAGAGCUGAUCUCAGUACUGAAUGAUGAAGAUUGUUAAUUUUUGUAACAUUCAAAUUUCAUGGAAUGUGAAGAGUUAAACAUUAGUUAUUGAAUUCAUACUCCCUACAAAUUUUGGCUUUAAAAUCAAGACAACAAGAUGCUACCUUCCAGAAUAAAGGAAUCAGUCAUCCACUUUGCACUUCAGUAGACUCUUACUUCCCUUGACCAAUUAUCCAUAUUGAUUAUUUGAUUAAAAAAGCGUAGAAUAAAAUUACACUGCUAUAUCUAGAAGAGGAAAAAAAAAUCUACUUAGAAGCAGAUAGCUUUCCUUCUGUUUUUCUCUUUUUUCUACACAGACAAAUGUGUUAGUAUAAUGCUCUUUGAAUGUACUAACAGCUAUCAGGAUCUGUUUCUUUUCUUUGGUCUGGUCUGUAUUUUUGCAGAGACCAUUUCAUGCUAGAUGAACAGCAGCUGAGAGUUUUGAACCACAUAUUAUAGUUAAGAGAGAAAAUGAGAUCAAUUUUUAAAAUGAGAAAAAAGUCUCGAGAAAUUGAUUUCUGUAGUUUCCAUUGACAGGUAACUUUUGUCUGUUUAUAGUUGGAAAAAUGCUUUUCCUAACUACUGUUAAGCAAAAUAGUACCUGCUGGUCCCUGAAAAGCCAGCGGCUGCUCUCACAGAUUCCUGUAAGAUUCUGCACUGGAAUUUAGUUUCAAUGGAGUGAGUUUGAAUGUAAUCUUAUCUGCACACAUACUGUAUUGAUAAAGUGCAAUGCAUUAUUAGUAAAAUUAUUUUGAACUGAGCUGAUGAAAAGGAACAGUCACAGUUCGUUGCAUUUUUUUUCUCUUCAUCCUCUAUAAAGAAAAAAAAAACAAAACCACAAAACCAAACCAAAACAAACCUUAAUUAUUGCAUUCCUAUUGCACUUUGAAAUGUUGGAAUUCUUCUGGCAACUGAUGCUUGUAGUCCGUGAAAGUCUUGCAAGGAUUGUAUAGUGGUGCACUACAAUCAAUUGGAAGCGCUAGCUGAAAGCUCUCAAUGCACUUUGAGAAAGCCUGUGUAGGGAAACAACUGCAGUUCGUGCUGCUGCAAAGUACUGCAGUAUUCUUUACCUUAAUCCCUGGCAGCUAUCACCUCCAUUUUGUUGGCUUGUCAUCAGCAUCUCUAUCAGAGGAAAACUCCAAUGCAUGUAGCAAGAAACGAAGCGUGUAGGGGAAAAACAGAAAGGCUCUUGACUGAAAUAGUCCUUUAAGUUAUUAACAGACAAGUGUGCAUGUCAGAAAAACACACUUGUUUGCUGUGAGUAUAUGCAAUAGCUGAUGGGUAAAGAAACAGAAACCUUAAUUGCUGCUCGAGUUUAGGUCACUGUUCAUUCAUUCAUUCAUUGCCGGAGCUAUAAACUAUUCAUAUGUUGCCACAGCAUGUUACUUACACGCGACUGAGGGUGAAGGAAGUAAGAGCUAAGAUGCUUCAUAGACAUCGACAUCGGGGGGAUUAACAUGUCUCCUUCAUUAAUAUAUAUGUGCAUACUUCAAUGUUGGAGAAUUGAAACUGUUUCAAAUGAGAUUAAAGCUGUAUCUCUUAAGGUCUUCUAUAGUACUUAAAAACACUUACAUUUUUUGCAUCAGUCUUGCCAGUUUCCUCACCAUUUUACUUUUCAUGUGCCAGUGGGGUAGAAGUGCAGGCACAGUGCUCAUCGCUUUCCGGCUGCCUGGCUUUCUGUUGUUUUUCUUUAGCUAGAUAUGCUCUCUGUACUUGCUAGCCAUCAUUAAGCAUAUAUGAAACUCUGUAGAGUGGCAGGCGUGGAUUCUGAGUGACAUUUCUGGCAGCAUUUUCCUUGUAUAUGGCAGCAGGCCUGAUUCUCUGAAAUUUUAAGCAUGUACGAUCCGUAUUUGCUUCCGCUGAAUCUGUAGGUACUCUGUCCUUUCAGGAAACAUGCUGCUCUGUGCUAAACCUUGGGCAGCUAAGAGAUGAGAAGGUCCUGGAAAUUUAACUAACUGCCAUAUGACUUGGUUCUGGAGAGCAGCAAGAGUACAGCGAGUGCGAAGGCAUUGCCGCUCCUACUGUGUUAGUUACAGACCCAGUAAUCGCCCCCUGUGAAACUAGGCUUGUACAUCAGUAGUGAAUUGUUCAGUAAUGUUUAUUGGAGCUCUUUAAAAUAUAUUUGCAAUGUAUAAAACACUUUGAUAUAUAGAAGCUCACAUUCUAAUAAGAUUACAUUAAGUAUCCUAAUAAGAUCAAGGCUUGAAAUUAUGUUUUUC